CCAGAAUGAGACGUCUCCACACACAGAGAGCUGCAGCCGAUGCCGGCUGGCGACUUGGGACUUGGAUGCUUAAUGGGAGGCUCCCCCUCCCUUGGGAGGUAGAGAGCAGUGAGGAAGGGGAAUCAGCCUCCAUGCCUCCCGCCAGCCCAGCUGCGCCCGAAUCACCUCCCUCCUGAAAGGACGUCAGCCUCUGCUUGGACACUGUGGAGACAGGGCCCUCCUUGUGCUUCAGAAGCAUCAACGUGUCAGAAAAUCAUCUUAACGCCAAGUCUGGAAAAAGUGGCUUUGAGGUUGUGCACACAAAGGAAGGAGGGAGAGCCCCAGGUGUCGCCGAGGACCGUGUGGCUGACAGAGCCAGCAGGGCGGUGGCGUGUGAGCCGCGCUCUGGAUAUGUAAAGAUCUGAGGCUGCUGGCAAUGUCUGAGCUCUGCGCUCGCCCAUCUGUCGGCCGCUAUCAUCACCGGGUGGGAUUAGUGGAGACUUCACUAUGAUCCACUCUUUCAUAUUUAAAUCUUCACGAGAGAAUGAAUCACUUUUAUAAUAAAAGAAAAA
rnacentral:antisense_RNA from 1 species